rnacentral:rRNA from 1 species
AGACGUCUACGAGUUUGAUCCUGGCUCAGAACGAACGCUGGCGGCAUGCUUAACACAUGCAAGUCGAACGAGACCUUCGGGUCUAGUGGCGCACGGGUGCGUAACGCGUGGGAAUCUGCCCUUAGGUACGGAAUAACUCAGAGAAAUUUGUGCUAAUACCGUAUGAUGUCGAAAGACCAAAGAUUUAUCGCCUAAGGAUGAGCCCGCGUAGGAUUAGCUAGUUGGUGAGGUAAAGGCUNACCAAGGCGACGAUCCUUAGCUGGUCUGAGAGGAUGAUCAGCCACACUGGGACUGAGACACGGCCCCAGACUCCUACGGGAGGCAGCAGUGGGGGAAUAUUGGACAAUGGGCGAAAGCCUGAUCCAGCAAUGCCGCGUGAGUGAUGAAGGCCUUCGGGUUGUAAAGCUCUUUCACCGGUGAAGAUAAUGACGGUAACCGGAGAAGAAGCCCCGGCUAACUUCGUG